GAAUAUUGGACAAUGGGGGGAACCCUGAUCCAGCCAUGCCGCGUGGUGGAAGAAGGCCUUUUGGUUGUAAAGCACUUUAAGCGAGGAGGAGGCUACCUGGAUUAAUACUUUAGGAUAGUGGACGUUACUCGCCGAAUAAGCACCGGCGAACUCUGUGCCAGCAGCCGCGGUAAUACAGAGGGUGCGAGCGUUAAUCGGAGUUACUGGGCGUAAAGCGUGCGUAGGCGGCAAAUUAAGUCAAAUGUGAAAUCCCCGAGCUUAACUUGGGAAUUGCAUUCGAUACUGGUUGGCUAGAGUAUGGGAGAGGAUGGUAGAAUUCCAGGUGUAGCGGUGAAAUGCGUAGAGAUCUGGAGGAAUACCGAUGGCGAAGGCAGCCAUCUGGCCUAAUACUGACGCUGAGGUACGAAAGCAUGGGGAGCAAACAG
rnacentral:rRNA from 1 species